rnacentral:tRNA from 1 species
CGCCGUGUAGCUCAGUUGGUAGAGCCGCGCACUCAUAAUGCGCAGGUCGCGGGAUCGAGACCCGCCACGGCUAC